rnacentral:rRNA from 1 species
UACAGAGGUCUCAAGCGUUGUUCGGAUUCAUUGGGCGUAAAGGGUGCGUAGGCGGCGGGGUAAGUCAGGUGUGAAAUCUCGGGGCUCAACCCCGAAACUGCACUUGAUACUGCCUCGCUUGAGUACUGGAGAGGAGACUGGAAUUUACGGUGUAGCAGUGAAAUGCGUAGAUAUCGUAAGGAAGACCAGUGGCGAAGGCGGGUCUCUGGACAGUUCCUGACACUGAGGCACGAAGGCCAGGGGAGCAAACGGG